rnacentral:rRNA from 1 species
AGAGUUUGAUCAUGGCUCAGAGCGAACGCUGGCGGCAGGCCUAAUACAUGCAAGUCGAACGCACCUUCGGGUGAGUGGCGGACGGGUGAGUAACGCGUGGGAACGUGCCCUUUGGUACGGAACAACUGAGGGAAACUUCAGCUAAUACCGUAUGUGCCCUUCGGGGGAAAGAUUUAUCGCCAUUGGAGCGGCCCGCGUUGGAUUAGGUAGUUGGUGGGGUAAAAGCCUACCAAGCCUACGAUCCAUAGCUGGUCUGAGAGGAUGAUCAGCCACACUGGGACUGAGACACGGCCCAGACUCCUACGGGAGGCAGCAGUAGGGAAUCUUGCGCAAUGGGCGAAAGCCUGACGCAGCCAUGCCGCGUGAAUGAUGAAGGUCUUAGGAUUGUAAAAUUCUUUCACCGGGGAAGAUAAUGACGGUACCCGGAGAAGAAGCCCCGGCUAACUUCGUGCCAGCAGCCGCGGUAAUACGAAGGGGGCUAGCGUUGCUCGGAAUUACUGGGCGUAAAGGGCGCGUAGGCGGAUAUCUAAGUUGGGGGUGAAAGCCCGGGGCUCAACCUCGGAAUAGCCUUCAAUACUGGAUAUCUUGAGUUCGGGAGAGGUGAGUGGAAUGCCGAGUGUAGAGGUGAAAUUCGUAGAUAUUCGGCGGAACACCAGUGGCGAAGGCGACUCACNNNCCGAUACUGACGCUGAGGCGCGAAAGCGUGGGGAGCAAACAGGAUUAGAUACCCUAGUAGUCC